UGGGGAAUAUUGCACAAUGGGCGAAAGCCUGAUGCAGCAACGCCGCGUGAGUGAUGAAGGUCUUCGGAUUGUAAAGCUCUGUCUUUUGGGACGAUAAUGACGGUACCAAAGGAGGAAGCCACGGCUAACUACGCGCCAGCAGCCGCGGUAAUACGUAGGUGGCGAGCGUUGUCCGGAUUUACUGGGCGUAAAGGGUGCGUAGGCGGAUGUUUAAGUGAGAUGUGAAAUACCCGGGCUUAACUUGGGUGCUGCAUUUCAAACUGGAUAUCUAGAGUGCAGGAGAGGAGAAUGGAAUUCCUAGUGUAGCGGUGAAAUGCGUAGAGAUUAGGAAGAACACCAGUGGCGAAGGCGAUUCUCUGGACUGUAACUGACGCUGAGGCACGAAAGCGUGGGUAGCAAACAGGAUUAGAUACCCUGGUAGUCCACGCCGUAAACGAUGAGUACUAGGUGUAGGAGGUAUCGACCCCUUCUGUGCCGCAGUAAACACAUUAAGUACUCCGCCUGGGAAGUACGAUCGCAAGAUUAAAACUCUAAAGUGAAUUGACGGGGUC
rnacentral:rRNA from 1 species